AUUGAACGCUGGCGGCAGGCCUAACACAUGCAAGUCGAGCGAGCGGCGGACGGGUGAGUCAUGUCUGGGAAACUGCCUGAUGGAGGGGGAUAACUACUGGAAACGGUAGCUACUCCCGCAUACCAUCAGAUGUGCCAAGGUUGGAUUAGCUAUUAGGUGGGGUAACGGCUCACCUAGGCGACGAUCCCUAGCUGGUCUGAGAGGAGGACCAGCCAUACCGGAACUGAGACACGGUCCAGACGCCUACGGGAGGCAGCAGUGGGGAAUAUUGCACAAUGGGCGCAAGCCUGAUGCAGCCAUGCCGCGUGUGUGAAGAAGGCCUUCGGGUUGUAAAGCACUUUCAGCGGGGAGGCGGUACCCGCAGAAGAAGCACCGGCUAACUCCGUGCCAGCAGCCGCGGUAAUUC
rnacentral:rRNA from 1 species